AGAUUUAUGAGCUUUUGUUAUUUGAUGCAAUUUCAAAAAGUAUCGGUAAGGUAAAAAUGAUCUACAAGCUUAUUGCAUUCAAAAGUAGUUAUCACAAGAAGAAGCAUGAGACACUAGCAGGUAUAUAAUGUCUAUUCUUCUUUCUAUUUGUUCUUUAGGUUCAGAUUACAAAUUCUUACAUGAUGUAGAAGUUUCAACCGAAUAGUGCACCCUCAAAAUUGUGUUUUGUUAUGCACGAUGCAAGAUUCAGCAGCACCACACCUAGAUUUUGAAUGGCUCAUAGCAGACUGUAUAUGGCUAACCUAUUGUAUGACAUUCUUAUUUUUUUGUCUAUAUGCAUUACUUCUAGAUAUACUUCUAUUGUUGCACCAUCACAUGGAUCAAUCACACUAAAAUAUGAUGUUGAUCUUGCACAAAAGGAAGAAGGGUGGUGUCACAUAAGCAUGGUUCGACCUAGCUAGAGUUGAUCAUGGUAGCCUCUUAGGUGCCAACAAACGUCUUUUGUAUAUUUCAGUUAAUUCUCAACAGGUUGCCAACAAACUUAUUAUUAUGGUGUUGUUCUAAACCUUAAACUAUUGGUGCUUUAUACUACAUAUCAUAUGAAAUGCAUCAAUGGGAUGUACUGAAUUAUCACUAUUUUGUUACCGGGUUGGAUAUGAUUCCUGAAUCUACAACUUUGCUUCACUGAUGUAUUGUUAGCAUCUUGAUGUGAUAAUUUGUUCUUUAUUUGGUUCCCCUUGAAAUUGUUUUAUCUCUUCCUGCUCCAUUAGCAAUGUUUAUUAUUGUAAUAUUCUGUUCAUAUUUUUUUUCACUUGCUCCCAGGUUUUUGUUAUUCUUGUCCUGCUACCUUUUUACUUAAAAAAUACAGAACAAACCUUAUGUGACACGUCUAAUAUGUUCUGGUAGAUGAAAUCCUACCUCACUCUUCUAUUAGAAUACUCCUCCCAAUACAUAUCUCAACUCAGGCUCUUUCCAUACAUCGGUUACAUCUGUCGUUGCUAAUGACCAAGAGAAUUUGCAUGUUUCACCUAUUUUGUUUACUGUCUGUCUCAUGACCUAUAAAUAUGUUAAUCAGAGUUCAGUUAUAUCUAUAGCAGUUCAACACUUUUAGCGAUAUCUAUUCUAUCCAUACCAUUUAAUUUUGUCUAAUCUACGUCAGGCCAGGAACUACAUGCAGCUCAAAAUCAUGUUGCAGCUAAAGUAAUAAGAAACAUGGAGGAUCACCUUAUUAUAGUAUCAUGGGACUAUAGGUGUCCAAAAAUUUGAACUCAACAUCGACCCUACUAUGUUGUUUCGAUUUGUGAUCCUUCUCACUUUGAACUAAUAUGUGUGCAAUCUUAUCAACUUCUUCUCCCCCUAUUAGUCCCUCCGUUUCAUGAUAUAAGGUGUAUAGAUUUUACUUCAUGAUAUAAGGUCUGUGACAAACCUAAUGACCUAUGAAUGUAUGAUUUUACUUUAUUGUAGACAACAUAUUGACAUACUUAUAUCUGCAUAUAGUUGUGCACAACUACUUAUCUGUGCAUAUUGUUUAGAUUUUAUUGGCAUUCAGUUUUCUUAUUCAUUUUGGUUUGCCCGUCGCUUCUACGGCAAUGCGCAGUAUGCCUCGCUUCUGUGGGCAACAUCAAAAACAGGGCGAAACAGAGCAAGCACAAAAAAGAAUACAAAUGCUACAUACAACCAAUGGGGUCCUUCUGCCUCAUCAAGGAUCUCUUCUGCCCUACCCCGUUGUUGUCAACUGAUCAAUACAAGCAGCCACCUCCAUGCACAAUUGCCGCAGCCUGUAGGUAGCAUUCUAUUCUUCUUCUUUUCUACCUUAUUUUGUGCUUCCUUUGUUCCCCUGUUCACAACAAGAUAACCAAUGCCUUGGGAAAGCCUCCAAACUAUAUUUGAUAUAUUGGUGAUUUUUUAUUGAAGAAUUUAUGGUCCACUUCCUCUCUAAAGCUUAGUCGAGUAGGUCUAAUAUUCUUCUCUACCCUUGCUACCAGAAAAAUCUUCUAUGUUUAAUACAUAAUCUUUGUCUUGUGCUAUGUACCACUUCUUUCAGAAUAAUACCUUCUCUAUUCCCCGUUAGUUUGCAUGGAUUAUUUCUUUGCCUGAGCACGGUUGUAGAUACUUCGCUUGAAAAAAUAAAUAGUUUUAAAUACUUGACCCAUGCUCAGGUAAGUUAAAAUGUUGAAUGUUUCUUGCUAAAUCAUAGAGAGAAAAAUUCAUGAGUUUUGGGCUGUAAAUAUGGCUUACAACCAUUUUGUUUAUGACUGGCUGUAAAUGAUAUUGAUGUUGGUCUAUCUCCCUGCGUAAAAAAUGUCUUACAACCAUAGAUCUCAUGUUCCAACAGGUUCAGAAUCCAACUUGUUUUGCUAUAAAUGGCCUCCUGCACAGUUGUAUACAAAGCUGAAGUGGGUACCACAGCCAUGAAAGUUAUCGUCCUGUAUAGAACUUUUAGUUAAACUAUCGUUUUGAGUAUAUUUUUAUUUAUUAAUAAUGUUAAUUACACUUUAGUUAAAUUAUCACUAAGUAUAUUUUUAUUUAUUAAUGUUAAUUACACCAAUGGAAUCAACCUGCAGAAACUGUACUUACAAAGGUGGAUUGGAGAGGAAGUUGUCGAUGCUCAAGCCAUGAUAUUACUUCUACUUUUGCUCCAUAUAAUUGUCUUGAUAAACUACUAUCACCAUUCAUUAUCUAAUCACACUAAAUAAGAGAUUGUACUGAGUUUUCUAUCUAAAUGUUUAUAUAUUAUGUGUAUAUGAAUAAAUAUUCAGACACAAUAUGUAUAGAACGUUGUUUUCUUUGACUUCAUGUUAUUCUUAUUCAAUCUCACUUUUUCAUUUGCCUGACAUAAACAUGGAAACAUCAGAAUUGACACUUGGAUAUAAGCCAGACCGUGAAUUAUGUCGGGUUUAGUGCUCCAAUAAUUAUAAGUGACUCUUCUGUAAUUUUUUAUAACACAGGAUGAGCCGAGCAUUUGGAGAAAAACUGUAUGUGAAUACAUCACCGAAGUGAAGGUAUAUGCAUAUACAAUAUGUAGAAUGCUGCUUGAUCUCCUGUUAGAGCAGCAUGGGCUGUCACCGUUCGUUUCAACACCAUUUGGAGAAAAACUUUAUGUGAAUAGGAGACAAAGCCAAGCAUGAAAGCAUGAUGUGUUUGCACAUGUGGUUUUCAUGGGGCAAAUGAUGCCACAUUGAAUAUCCUUUGGCCCCAAUAACUUCCAAAUGAGGUGUCAUACCACUAGCUACUGUGAUGUGUUAUGCGAGAUGUUGUCUGAUUGUCCUCGCCUUUUGUUAAAGGGCACUGCUCCAAGAAUUAUUUGUCAUUCUUCAUGUUGACUACUAUAUAUUAGUUACAUUGAUG
rnacentral:lncRNA from 1 species